rnacentral:lncRNA from 1 species
UGUAUGGUUGUCUUUAUGUUUAGUAUGCACACUGAAGUGGAUUAUAUGGCAGUGUGGAGUCAAGAUAAUCCAGUUCAAAGCAGAUAAUAUGAGAUUAUAAAUGGGUUAUAUAGCUGUGUGGAAGGGCCUUGAGUCUACACUGCCAUAUAAUCCAGUUAAAAUCUGAUAAUCUGUGGAAGAGGCCUAAGUGAGGCCUAACUGUGCCUGUCCCCUGGGCUGAGUAGGUUGCUAGGAGACCAAGUGGGCGGAGCUUAGCCUUCAAACUGGCAGCAAUUGGAUAAAAACUAUUAUUCCUCUCCCUGUAAUUAGGACUUUAUUUUUCUUUUCUUUUUGUUGUAUCAACCCAGAGCCGUGAAUGAUGGGUUGUGUUGUCAAGGUUGGGGUUGGGGGGCCUGUAGGUUGGGGGGCCUGUAGUUUUGUUGUUUUGUCCGCUGCCCUGAUGCCAUCACUCUUUUAUAUAUAUAGAUAGAUUAUUAUUAUAUCCUAUUAUUAUAUUAUCCUAUUAAUAUAUUUUAUAUCAUUAUAUCUAUACAUAUAAAGGAGUGAUGGCAUCAGGGCAGCGGACAAAACAACAAAACUACAGGCCCCCCAACCUCGAAAUUUGACAACACAACCCAUCAUUCACGGCUCUAGGUUGAUAAAACAAAAAGAAAAGAAAAAUAAAGUCCUAAUUACAGGGAGAGGAAUAAUAGUUUUUAUCCAAUUGCUACCAGUUAGAAGGCUAAGCUCCGCCCACUUGGUCUCCUAGCAAACCUACUCAGCCCAGGGGACAGGAAGACUUAGGCCUCAUUUAGGCCUCUUCCACAGAUUAUCAGAUUUUCACUGGAUUAUAUGGCAGUGUAGACUCAAGGCCCUUCCACAUCUAUAUAACCCAUUUAGAAUCUUAUAUUAUCUGCUUUGAACUGGAUUAUCUUGACUCCACACUGCCAGAUAAUCCACUUCAGUGUGCAUACUAAACAUAAAGACAGCCAUACAACAGACAUUCAAUACCACCACUACUUCAACAAUUUCUCACCAACACCACCAGACAACACCACAGCAACGAGUGGCCGGGCACAGCUAGUUAUAUUAUAAUUUUAUCGUUCUAUUGUUAUUCCAUUAUUAUUGUAGUAUAAUAUCAUAUUAUUACUAUUAUAUUAUAUUGUUAUAUUAUUAUUCAUUAUUCAUGACUAUAUUGAAACUAGAAUAGAGAGAAAUCAGUGUGGAAACUUUGUGAAGCUUAAAAGGCAAGAAGUACCAUAGAUUGUUGUACAUGGAAAUAAUGGUAGUAAAUAGUUUUUGAUUUAUUAAAUACAGUUACUGUAUAUACUCGAGUAUAAGCCUAGUUUUUCAGCCCUUUUUUUUAAGACUGAAAAAGCCCCCCGCAGCUUAUACUCGGGUGAG